rnacentral:misc_RNA from 1 species
CGGAGAUCCUAUAGACAUGCAAAGCAACAACCAUAGCAACUACAACAACAGCAGCAACAAUCAUCCCCAAAAUAGCCACACAUCGACCAGCUGGUCAUCGGAUUCCGGUGAGCCUUGUGGAUCUACAGGUAACAAAUGGGCAUCAAAGCUUCUUAGGGAGUGUGCAAGAGCCAUCUCCGACAAGGACUCAUGCAAAAUCCACCAACAAUCAUCCCCAAAAUAGCCACACA